GUGCUCACUUUGGCAGCACAUAGACUAAAACUGGAAUGAUGCAGAGAAGACUAACAUGGCCCCAGUGCAAGGAUGACAUGCAAAUUCAUGAAGCAUUCUACAUUUUU